rnacentral:rRNA from 1 species
UACGGGGGGGGCAAGCGUUGUUCGGAAUUACUGGGCGUAAAGGGCGCGUAGGCGGUUUGCUAAGUUGGAUGUGAAAACUCUGGGCUUAACCCAGAGCCUGCAUUCAAUACUGGCAGGCUAGAGUUCUGGAGGGGAUAGCGGAAUUCCUGGUGUAGCGGUGAAAUGCGCAGAUAUCAGGAGGAACACCGAUGGCGAAGGCAGCUCGCUGGGACGGUACUGACGCUGAGGCGCGAAAGCGUGGGGAGCAAACAGG